rnacentral:ncRNA from 12 species
GAACGCCCGGUCUGUCGGUGAAAAGCGAUGCGAGACCGGCGCGAAACGCUCUCAGUAAUCCUCCGCACUCCGGUCCGCUUAGCACGGAGUCCGAGAGUGGCAGAGCUCCGUAAAUUCGGAGUUCGCUAUUCGACCACAUGCUCGGAAGGAGGAGAUCAUGGCCGGGCCGGCCUGGGCUGCCGAAGCUCAGCAGCUCUGAAGUCCUUUGUGUAAGUCGCGCCGCCUUUUGGCGAGAGGAGCCAUACGAAAGCGGAUGGCCGGCAAAAGCUCCCAGCGCGCGAGUUGAGAGGCUAAACCGAGGUCAGCGGGCGUUC